UAGCGCAGUGGUUAAAGCGCUUGGCUGCUAACCAAAAAGUUGGUGGUUCAAACCCACC
rnacentral:tRNA from 1 species